UGCAAGUCGAGCGGUAGAGAGGUGCUUGCACCUCUUGAGAGCGGCGGACCGGUGAGUAAAGCCUAGGAAUCUGCCUGGUAGUGGGGGAUAACGCUCGGAAACGGACGCUAAUACCGCAUACGUCCUACGGGAGAAAGCAGGGGACCUUCGGGCCUUGCGCUAUCAGAUGAGCCUAGGUCGGAUUAGCUAGUUGGUGAGGUAAUGGCUCACCAAGGCGACGAUCCGUAACUGGUCUGAGAGGAUGAUCAGUCACACUGGAACUGAGACACGGUCCAGACUCCUACGGGAGGCAGCAGUGGGGAAUAUUGGACAAUGGGCGAAAGCCUGAUCCAGCCAUGCCGCGUGCGUGAAGAAGGUCUUCGGAUUGUAAAGCACUUUAAGUUGGGAGGAAGGGCAUUAACCUAAUACGUUAGUGUUUUGACGUUACCGACAGAAUAAGCACCGGCUAACUCUGUGCCAGCAGCCGCGGUAAUACAGAGGGUGCAAGCGUUAAUCGGAAUUACUGGGCGUAAAGCGCGCGUAGGUGGUUCGUUAAGUUGGAUGUGAAAUCCCCGGGCUCAACCUGGGAACUGCAUUCAAAACUGUCGAGCUAGAGUAUGGUA
rnacentral:rRNA from 1 species